AAUACGUUUGCCCAGCGGAGCCUUGUGCCCAACAGUCUGUCCUCCGUGGCAGGCAACGCUUGAUUGGUGCUGGGAGAAGAUUCCAUCGGAGCUCAACCAGCAGCCGUUAUGCCCGCAUUUCGGCCCACAGAUCACCCUCAGGCGGUCUCCCCUCCCCGAGGGAUUAAGAUAUGACCGGUCCCACUUGGUAACUGGUGGAAGGCUCGUUCCGUAGGUGAACCUGCAGAAGGAUCAUUAC
rnacentral:rRNA from 1 species